AUGAAAUGUCUUCUUCUGGCUGGCCUUUUGAUUAUGGCCACUGCUUUGCCCAUCCCUCUUGAACAAUCUGGAGAAAGUUCCAGUGCUCAGAGAUUUAACACUUACCCACCCCAAGGAGCAACAUUUUCCCCUCAGAUCCCACUUGCCCCACCUGUACAACUGCCCCUGAUUCCAAUUCCUCUUCCUUUCCCAUUUCCUAAUAAUCCAAAUCAGGUCCUGACACUUAAUGAUCUCAUAGCGUUAAUCAUUUCUAUCUUGAACCAACUUGGGAAAUAAU
rnacentral:lncRNA from 1 species